CAGCAGCCACGGUAAUACGAAGGGGGCUAGCGUUGCUCGGAAUGACUGGGCGUAAAGGGCGCGUAGGCGGCGAUCAAAGUCAGGCGUGAAAUUCCUGGGCUCAACCUGGGGGCUGCGCUUGAUACUUGGUUGCUUGAGUGGGGAAGAGGGUCGUGGAAUUCCCAGUGUAGAGGUGAAAUUCGUAGAUAUUGGGAAGAACACCGGUGGCGAAGGCGGCGACCUGGUCUUUUACUGACGCUGAGGCGCGAAAGCGUGGGGAGCAAACAGGAUUAGAUACCCCUGUAGUCCCUGUCUCUUAUAC
rnacentral:rRNA from 1 species